CAAGAUCACCUCUUCACUCGUGAAAUGAUCGAACAAGCUCACCUCACCACUCUUCACGCCGGAGUUGCCAUGAUUAUGGCAAAGAUCAGGGAUUAUUUACAUUGGGUCCCAAAGCUACGACAGCUUGUUAAACGUGUGCGGAGCGAUUGCUGGGAUUGCAAACGGUUUCGAGUGCAAUCAUACGAGAACCCACCCCCCGGAAACCUGCCUACCACUCGUACGCAAGGAACUACUCCCUUCGAAGUUCUCGGUAUCGAUUUCGCGGGUCUGAUCCGGUAUCAGACAAAAGGGAAAACCUCAAAGAAAGCGUAUUUGGUUCUGUACGGAUGUAGUCUUACGAGGGCUGAACGGAAAACGGCGUACUCGAAAGGGCGAUCCAGCAUUUAUACCCACUUGAGUUGUCCAUCGAAGAAAAGAACUGGGAACCUAAUCCCUCCGCUCCCACCUUCAUUCCUCGGCCAAAAAGAGACGCAGCCGUAGCAGCGGAUUUACGUAUGCAACAGCAUGCUCAAACGGACAGAGACGAUGUGUAACAAUGUUUAUUUAGUCGUAUUAAUAAUUUAGUUUUGUUAUAGGUAGUCACAAAGAACAUGGAUGGAACUACAACGAAGUCAGUCCCAAAGGACAUAUAACUCUUGAUUGAGCUACAUGGGGGAGUGUGUUGGGAACUGACCAAACAGAUAAGAUAUAUCGUAUAACACUUUAGGGAGGGAUAGUUAAUUAGGGAGAUUAUAUAGUGAUAGUUUUGAUUAGUUAGUGUCAUCGUGACAGUGAGAGAGAACGGAUGUGAGACAGCUGCGACGAGCAUACAAUGUGAUUUUGGGUAUUCUUAUAUUUUCUAUUAAAACUUAUAUAUAAAUGUGAUUUGUCGAGGACUACUGUCUUGGAGGCAAACAUUCUCGACA